UACAGAGGUCUCAAGCGUUUGUUCGGAUUCAUUGGGCGUAAAGGGUGCGUAGGUGGCGCCGUAAGUCGGGUGUGAAAUUUCGGAGCUUAACUCCGAAACUGCAUUCGAUACUGCCGUGCUUGAGGACUGGAGAGGAGACUGGAAUUUACGGUGUAGCGGUGAAAUGCGCAGAUAUCAGGAAGAACACCCGUGGCGAAGGCGGCUCUCUGGGACGUGACUGACGCUGAGACGCGAAAGCGUGGGGGAGCGAACAGG
rnacentral:rRNA from 1 species